rnacentral:lncRNA from 1 species
AGGUUGCAUUAAUUUGGACGGCACACGGGAAGGAGCUCGCUCACAUCAGCACAAAACUGAAGCCAGCUGACGUGUUGGAAUUAAUUGGGCCAGGAGGCCGCUGGUCCCCUGGCUUCUUCUGUGGCUGGUCUUUGUGGAUUUUCCUCUUGCUUCUCUCCCAGCAAGUGCUGGGGCUGGGGUGGGAGUGUAUCAGUCCUUACUGCAUGCAUUUGCGACUAGCAGAUGAAAGCUGCUGCUGGAGCCAGUCUAAUUGGAGAGAAUUGCAGUUUAGCGGAUUUCUUACACAAGUAGUAUAUUGACAACAUCUCCUUCCCCCUCCUGAGACUCCUCCCAUGUGACGCUCACCCCCUCACGUGACCCCUCCCUCUUUAAUCUACAUAUGCAAAUCUAAGUGCUGCCUGCUGAGUUCAUUUAUGGACAAUGCCUCUCUCACCAAACUGCCUUCCGCUGGAACUCUGGGAAGGUUCACCGGCUCAAGAUUAUCACGCUGAGGACCGAACUUACUUAGGGGAACACACUCAGUUCCUAGCAGCCAGCCUGCCCUCAUCUUCUCCUUCUGAGAGCAUUAAGAAGUAGCAACUUGGAAAGGAAACUGAGCUAUGGUUCAAUCUGGUUCACACACCAAGCCUUUGAAAGCCAUGCUGUCUUGGUGUUUGUGUUUUCUCAAGGUUGGUCUGUUUCCAUGGAGCGAUCCUCCUGCAGUAGCCUCCCAAGUCAUGGGAUUUCAUGCCUAUACCACCUAGCUUGGGAAUAUGGAAUUCCUAAGAACUCUAAUUCCUUCCAUAAUGGUAUUCAGUUCCGCUUCUUAUUGCCAACUGUAGCCAUUUUUGCAGAGUUUUGGAUUCUCUUUUGUUAGCAUCAAGGUAAUUUCAGAGCAAUGACUCUUGUAAAUUUAAAGUACUUACCCAGAAAAAAUGGGGAUUGGGAGGACAAUCUACUAAAUCAAACCACUUACUAAAACUAGAAUUAGAUAAAAAUAUUAAUUUAAAACUGAAAAAUAAAUGCCCAAAGCUAAGUCUGCUUCCCAUGUCUGUACCCUAACCCUUGUCAAGGCUGCCUCUGAGCCCUUCCCCACCAAAGGCUUGGAGUAUAGACUCCACAAACAUUUUUCCAGGGAUCAGCCCACACCACCCACGGCUAGCCACACGUCUCGCCUCCUCUAUUUGAAAAAUAAAAACAAACCAUCUUCAA